rnacentral:rRNA from 1 species
CAGCCGCCGCGGUAAUACGAAGGGGGCUAGCGUUGUUCGGAAUUACUGGGCGUAAAGCGCACGUAGGCGGAUACUUAAGUUAGGGGUGAAAUCCCAGGGCUCAACCCUGGAACUGCCUUUAAUACUGGGUAUCUUGAGUUCGAGAGAGGUAAGUGGAAUUCCGAGUGUAGAGGUGAAAUUCGUAGAUAUUCGGAGGAACACCGGUGGCGAAGGCGGCUUACUGGCUCGAUACUGACGCUGAGGUGCGAAAGCGUGGGGAGCAAACAGGAUUAGAUACCCCGGUAGUCCCUGUCUCUUAUAC